AUUUUUGUUAGAUUAAGCUGUCCUGGAUUUAGUUAAGCUAGUGUGGGGUAGCCACUUUUAUUUUGGACUAAGAGUGAUUUGUGUCGAUUUAGCUUAAAUCCAUUCCCAAUUGACUUGCACUGAACUGAGCUAACACCUGAUUUAUGCCCUCAAUUAUCCUGUUUUAACCAACAGCUCAGGCAUGCUGUCCAGCUCCAGCAACUUAACGAGUUACUGCACCUUAGCUGAGGCAUGGUAACUGCAGUGUGCUUUUCUCUAGCCUGCAGCAGAUGUGAGGCUCAAUGUGUCAGCUCAACCUCAGGGGCAAGAAAAAGAGAAGUUGAAACUGGUUUCUUCCAUCUGAGAUGGCCACAGGCGAAGAGCAAACACACUUGGUCAAUUACCGUGGCUCAGAUGAUGCAUGGUAUUGCCAUUUUCAGGUCAAAUUUUAGAGUUAGUAGGAACUUUUCCAUGGGCUUUGUACAACAAUAUUCCACUGCGCACAGUGAGAAGUUUGAACACCCUUCAUUUCAGAGUCUAAUUUUGAGAUGAACUUGUAUCUUUCUUAAAAAAACAGUGGAAACAAACAAAACAACAAGACCACCAAUAGCAAAAGAAAACCACCGGCCCCAAACUUUCACCUUUCUUCUCAGAUCUCUUAAACCCAGCUGUUGGUUCAUGUUAACAUGGAGAAUGGUGAGAAAACCCCAGCAGAAGAGUGUGAAUCCCAGAGAGACUUGUCUUCUGUCAUUGUGAAGACCUAGAAAAUAUCCCAAGUUUUGCUGAGGUAUGGAUCAGUCAUGCAGCACACGAGGCGUGCCAUGCAAAUAUUUCCUGUGGUGAUCUCUGGCAUUAGAAGGCCAGCAGCAACACAAAACAAGAAGUACCAAAUGCUGCAAGAAGCAGCUUCAGAUGGCAUAGCCUGAGCCUGUGGCUGGAAAAGUCUGAAAGAGAGAAAGAGAACUUCUACCUGUAACUCAAAACUAGCAGAUAUACUGUACACCCACAUUACAGCAUUCUUAGACAAGCUGCAUCUGAUCUAAUCUUAUGUACCUUGGCCACAGGUUCUGGAAAAACAAAUAUUCCCAAGGCAAUCGGAUUACUGAAUGUACCAUAUAACGAUGUGGAAAUAUUAGUGGUUUACAGAAGGCAGUUUAUGAAGUGGAUUGAGUGAAUUUAAUUCAUGCACUGUCAGGCAAUUUGGACUUAGAUAUAAUCAUGUUAAGAUUUCCUUAUUUUAGCUGUCUUUGGUGGAGCACCAGAGCCAAAUAGUAGCGUAUGAGCAAUACUCCCAACUACAGACAGACAGGUCAUGGGCAUUUGAUCCAAGCCAGCUUUGAGCAAGUGCAAAUCUGUGUCUGCACUGGGGUGGGGUGGGGGGGGGGUUAAUAGGGUUAUCCCAAGUAUUAGUGAAAAGGAACCAUUAUCUCCUCCUCUCUGGCUUCCUGAUCCGUAGGUAGGAGUCUCCCCUUCUCUUAUCCUUUGUUUCUCAUGAAAGUUCCCAUCCUGAAAUGCUACGAGUACAGUUUGGUUUUGUUGCAAUAAGUGGUCCUGUAAAAAAAAAACUUCAUUCACAGAGUACUUCCACCACUGUAAGUGAAACAACGUUAGGAAUUAAUCUAGCCUGUGAUUUUUAAGAAACCGUGUUCUGAAAAGCUUGUUCUCAGACCCUUCUUCCCUGUGAAGGAUAACUUAAUUGUUUGACAAAUAAGCUAAAGCUACAUAACAUUCCCCACUCAUCCAGUUUUAAAAAAUCCUGCAUUGUUUUUUAAUGCAAAGUUCACCUUUAGAAGCAUGAGAUCUAAUAUUCUUUUUCUCUAGAAUAAAGACAAAAAAAGCUCUUUUCUGGAAUAUAAGAAAUAUUUGAAAAGGAAGAGUGGGGAGCAGCCACGGUACUUCACUCUGGAGUGCUUUGUGAGAAGGUCUGAGGAUGUAAGUUAAAAGAGCAGAUACGAUUUUGGUGCUGCUGUCUCUAAAACGCUUUGAGUGGGUGGGUGGAAAUGCACUGGAAUAGAAAUGCACAGAAAAGCCUUAUUGCUGGAUGGUAACUAAAGAGCCUCGCAGUUGAACAGUCAAGAUUACGACUACUGUUGUCUUUUUGAAAUCAUUUUUUCCUUAUUGUUUUCUUUAUUUUCUGUUUUCUGGGUUUCCUUUUCCUUGUAGGAUAUCAUGGAAAUUACACUGGCAUGUUGUUUGGCCAGGGAAAGAGAUUUCAGAUGGGGUUCUUCAGUAGUUGCUUUUUUACUUCUUAGGAAUGAUCCUGGCAGAUCCUUGUGAUAAUUUCUCUAUUGUCAUAUUGGCACACAAGCAUGAUAUUCUCUGGGGCUUUUUUAUGUUGCUGCUUCUUUGGCCAGAAAUUAAUUGGUCUUAUAAAGAUGAUCUUUUUUUUUUCUCUUCUUCUUUCUUUCUUUAUUUUCCCUGUAGCGUGGAUUUGCUUUAGUCACUGACAGCUUUGCAUCCUUUGGAUUAUCCAGGUGUAUUUUGCCUUUGCAGUUGCCCUGGAAAUGAAACCUAACCCAGAACAGGGCCAUCACACCACACAGUGAUUUCAGUCAUUUUAAUAUAGAAAUCCUUCCGUGGUUUUAUUUGUGCCCACCCUGAGGAGUGAUGUUUUUCAUUUGUGCUGUUCUGACAUGUGAGAACAUCUGUGACCUACCUCCCACCUAUUCUUUUUCACUCGCUGUCCCAAAGGGGGUUGCAGAAGCAGAAGUAGCAGCAAACCAUUGGGUAUGGAAAACAACAUCAGUAAUUUCAAUUGGAUGCCACAUCUUGCACUUCCUUUUCUCAAUUGUUACAUAGGCAGCAUUUCAAUUGAGAGACGAAUAUGUUUUAGUGCUCUACUCUCCUUAACUAUUGCUUGCAAGGGACAUAUACAAAUCCCUUGAGCAACACAUGCUAUGCUUAUUUUUCUAGUGCCACUGAAACAGAGCAAUUAUUUAUCUCUUUGGCUUCCUGCUUUAUUUUUGCCAGCUUAGAAUAAUAUGAUUACAUAGUGAAAAUAAUCAAUGAGCAUAACCAGAAGUCCUUGCUCAGGGCUUGGUUAUUCAGGCUCCUACUGACUUUAGAACUUAAAGAAUUCGGGAUUUUAUCCAACGUCUUCUCAGCCUGUUAUGCUCAAGAGCUGAUUUCAUAGUAUUAAUUUUUAUAAGGGCUAUGGAUGAUAGAGUGAGGAACAAGAGCAUAAGCUACAUGCAUAUAAAAAUCAAUGCUCUUCGGACUGUUGGUGUUCAGAAAUGUAAGAAAGUGGUAUGUAUUUUCAUCUCUUAUUUAUUGCAGGUCAAUAGUAAUCAGCUUGGAAAUAUGACAGUGGGUGGCAGUGAUCUGUGUUUUGUGAUUACUUUCUCUCCCACACCUCCUGCUCGUUAUUUCCUAGAUCCAUGGAAGAACCUGCGUGCUGCUCUGAAGGAAAGGUGGAUGCCCUCACAUUAGGAGAUGGAUAAAUACUUUCCAAAUGAACUGUAUG
ensembl:lncRNA